UUUCGAAGCAACGCGAAGAACUUACCAGGUCUUGACAUCCCGAUGCUAUUUCUAGAGAUGAAAGUUACUUCGGUACAUCGGUGGACAGGUAGUGCAUGGUUGUCGUCAGCUCGUGUCGUGAGAUGUUGGGUUAAGUCCCGCAACGAGCGCAACCCUUGUCUUUAGUUACCAUCAUUCAGUUGGGGACUCUAGAGAGACUGCCGGUGAUAAACCGGAGGAAGCGGGGAUGACGUCAAAUCAUCAUGCCCCUUAUGGCCUGGGCUACAAACGUAAUACAAUGGCGUAUACAAAGGGAUGCGAAAGGGCGACCUGGAGCAAAACUCACAAAGUACGUCUCAGUUCAGAUUGGAGUCUGCAACUCGACUCCAUGAAGGCGGAAUCGCUAGUAAUCGCGGAUCAGCAUGCCGCGGUGAAUACGUUCUCCGGGGUUU
rnacentral:rRNA from 1 species